GCGCACCAGGCGCGAAUACUUCACACUGUGCGAAAGCACGAUGAGGGAAUCCCAAGUGCUUGCACGUAAGUGUAAGCUGUUUCUCUGUUUAAAACGCAGAGAGAGUAAGGGCUGGGUAAGACGGGUGCCAGCCGCCGCGGUAAUACCUGCAGCUCAAGUGGUGACCGUUAUUAUUGGGCCUAAAACGUCCGUAGCCGGUUUAAUAAAUGCCUGGGUAAAUCGUGUAGCUUAACUAUACGAAUUCCGGGUAGACUGUUAAACUCGAGACCGGGAGAAGUC
rnacentral:rRNA from 1 species